rnacentral:rRNA from 1 species
CAGCAGCCGCGGGAAUACAGAGGGUGCGAGCGUUAAUCGGAUUUACUGGGCGUAAAGCGUGCGUAGGCGGCUUCUUAAGUCGGAUGUGAAAUUCCUGAGCUUAACUUAGGAAUUGCAUUCGAUACUGGGAAGCUAGAGUAUGGGAGAGGAUGGUAGAAUUCCAGGUGUAGCGGUGAAAUGCGUAGAGAUCUGGAGGAAUACCGAUGGCGAAGGCAGCCAUCUGGCCUAAUACUGACGCUGAGGUACGAAAGCAUGGGGAGCAAACAGGAUUAGAUACCCCGGUAGUCCCUGUCUCUUAUAC